rnacentral:rRNA from 1 species
AGCCGCCGCGGUAAUACGGAAGGUCCAAGCGUUAAUCGGAAUUACUGGGCGUAAAGCGCGCGUAGGUGGUUUUUUAAGUUGGAUGUGAAAGCCCUGGGCUCAACCUAGGAACUGCAUCCAAAACUAGAUGACUAGAGUACGAAAGAGGGAAGUAGAAUUCACAGUGUAGCGGUGGAAUGCGUAGAUAUUGUGAAGAAUACCAAUGGCGAAGGCAGCUUCCUGGUUCUGUACUGACACUGAGGUGCGAAAGCGUGGGUAGCGAACAGGAUUAGAUACCCUGGUAGUCCACGCCGUAAACGAUGACAACUAGCUGUUGGGAGACAAGAUCUCUCAGUGGCGCAGCUAACGCUUUAAGUUGUCCGCCUGGGGAGUACGGCCGCAAGGUUAAAACUCAAAUGAAUUGACGGGGACCCGCACAAGCGGUGGAGCAUGUGGUUUAAUUCGAUGCAACGCGAAAAACCUUACCUACUCUUGACAUACUUGGAAGCUCUUGUAAUGAGAGUGUGCUUUUAGAGCCAAGAUACAGGUGCUGCAUGGCUGUCGUCAGCUCGUGUCGUGAGAUGUUGGGUUAAGUCCCAUAACGAGCGCAACCCUUACCCUUAUUUGCCAGCGGUUCGGCCGGGAACUAUAAGGGGACUGCCGGUGACAAACCGGAGGAAGGUGAGGACGACGUCAAGUCAUCAUGGCCCUUACGAGUAGGGCUACACACGUGCUACAAUGGGGAAUACAGACGGACGCUAAAGCGUGAGCUGGUGCUAAUCCUAAAAAAUUUCUCGUAGUCCGGAUUGCAGUCUGCAACUCGACUGCAUGAAGUCGGAAUCGCUAGUAAUCGCGAAUCAGCAUGUCGCGGUGAAUACGUUCUCGGGUCUUGUACACACCGCCCGUCACACCAUGGAAGUGUGUUGCACCAGAAGUAGGUAGUCUAACCUUCGGGAAGGCGCUUACCACGGUGUGAUCCAUGACUGGGGUGAAGUCGUAACAAGGUAGCCG